UACGGGGGGGGCAAGCGUUGUUCGGAAUUACUGGGCGUAAAGGGCGCGUAGGCGGUACUUCAAGUCAGGCGUGAAAGCCCCGGGCUCAACCUGGGAACCGCGCUUGAGACUGGAGAACUAGAGUUCGGGAGAGGAUGGUGGAAUUCCCAGUGUAGAGGUGAAAUUCGUAGAUAUUGGGAAGAACACCGAUGGCGAAGGCAGCCAUCUGGACCGACACUGACGCUGAGACGCGAAAGCGUGGGGAGCAAACAGG
rnacentral:rRNA from 1 species